AUAUGUGACGUGACCGCAUGGUCUGCGUUUGGAAAGAUUUUUCGGUUGGGGAUGGGCUCGCGGCCUAUCAGCUUGUUGGUGAGGUAAUGGCUCACCAAGGCGUCGACGGGUAGCCGGCCUGAGAGGGUGACCGGCCACACUGGGACUGAGACACGGCCCAGACUCCUACGGGAGGCAGCAGUGGGGAAUAUUGCACAAUGGGCGAAAGCCUGAUGCAGCAACGCCGCGUGAGGGAUGACGGCCUUCGGGUUGUAAACCUCUUUUAGCAGGGAAGAAGCGAAAGUGACGGUACCUGCAGAAAAAGCGCCGGCUAACUACGUGCCAGCAGCCGCGGUAAUACGUAGGGCGCAAGCGUUAUCCGGAAUUAUUGGGCGUAAAGAGCUCGUAGGCGGUUUGUCGCGUCUGCUGUGAAAUCCCGAGGCUCAACCUCGGGCCUGCAGUGGGUACGGGCAGACUAGAGUGCGGUAGGGGAGAUUGGAAUUCCUGGUGUAGCGGUGGAAUGCGCAGAUAUCAGGAGGAACACCGAUGGCGAAGGCAGAUCUCUGGGCCGUAACUGACGCUGAGGAGCGAAAGGGUGGGGAGCAAACAGGCUUAGAUACCCUGGUAGUCCACCCCGUAAACGUUGGGAACUAGUUG
rnacentral:rRNA from 1 species